rnacentral:lncRNA from 1 species
UUGCUUGCCAUUGUGCUCAUUCGCACCUGCUUGUAAGGGUCGCUCCCCACAAGCCGGCAAUCCGGAGAUAGCCAUCGCGACACAUGCUCGCCCGUGCGGGAUUGGGCGCCGAAAUGGGAUGCCGUGGGGGAGGCUCAUUCCUAGAGUGGAAAUGUUGACUACCACGGGGCCAUUAGGCACGGCGCAGGCCGGACUACCCACGGGUAGGUCCUACAGGAUUGGAACAUUGGUGACUUAGUAUACCG